UUCUUACUGAAAUUAUUGUAAGUAACACCUGCUCAAUGAAUCUUAUAUAGCCGCGGAAAUUUAACCGUGCUAAGGUAGCAUAAUCAUUAGCCUCCUAAUUAGAGGCUCGUAUGAACGGUGAAACAUUUCAAUUACUUUUUUGAUUAAUGUAUUUUAAUUUAAAUUAAGAAUAAAAAUGUUCUUAUUUAAAAAAUAGACGAUAAGACCCUUUUGAACUUUACUUUAGUUUAGCUGGGGCAGCUAAAUAAAAAUUAUUUUAUUUUAAAUAUUAUAAUAAAUGACCCAAUAUAAUUGAGUAUAUGAACAAGUUACCAUAGGGAUAACAGCGUAAUAUCUUUUUAAAGUUCUUAUUAAAAAAGAAGAUUGCGACCUCGAUGUUGAAUUAAUGUAACUUUACUGAUGCAGUAAUUUUAAAAGUAGGUCUGUUCGACCUUUAAAACAUUACAU
rnacentral:rRNA from 1 species